rnacentral:sRNA from 1 species
GAUGCCAGGGUCAAAGGGUCAAAAAUCCGUUCAUGCUUGCAUGAUAAGGCUUUUGAACCUGGGACCCGCCAAACAUGAGAAAGUAGCGAUUUACGCAGUAAAUCAGCGGAUUUCGAAUGUUUAUAGAAUUGCGGGAGCUGCUUUGCAGCGGAGUAAUUCGUAGGCAUC